UAAAAGUCGUAACAAGGUUUCCGUAGGUGAACCUGCGGAAGGAUCAUUAGUGAAUCUAGGACGUCCAACUUAACUUGGAGUCCGAACUCUCACUUUCUAACCCUGUGCAUCUGUUUUAAAAUUGGCUAGUAGCUCUUCGGAGCGAACCACCAUUUUUCACUUAUACAAACACAAAGUCUAUGAAUGUAAACAAAUUUAUAACAAAACAAAACUUUCAACAACGGAUCUCUUGGCUCUCGCAUCGAUGAAGAACGCAGCGAAAUGCGAUACGUAAUGUGAAUUGCAGAAUUCAGUGAAUCAUCGAAUCUUUGAACGCACCUUGCGCUCCUUGGUAUUCCGAGGAGCAUGCCUGUUUGAGUGUCAUGAAAUCUUCAACCCACCUCUUUCUUAGUGAAUCUGGUGGUGCUUGGUUUCUGAGCGCUGCUCUGCUUCGGCUUAGCUCGUUCGUAAUGCAUUAGCAUCCGCAACCGAAACUUCGGAUUGACUUGGCGUAAUAGACUAUUCGCUGAGGAUUCCAGACUUGUUCUGGAGCCGAGUUGGGUUAAAGGAAGCUUCUAAUCCUAAAGUCUAUUUUUUGAUUAGAUCUCAAAUCAGGUAGGACUACCCGCUGAACUUAAGCAUAUCAAUAAGCGGAGGAAA
rnacentral:rRNA from 1 species